rnacentral:rRNA from 1 species
UACGGGGGGGGCAAGCGUUGUUCGGAAUUACUGGGCGUAAAGGGCUCGUAGGCGGCCAACUAAGUCAUACGUGAAAUCCCUCGGCUUAACCGGGAACUGCGUCUGAUACUGGAUGGCUUGAGAUUGGGAGAGGGAUGCGGAAUUCCAGGUGUAGCGGUGAAAUGCGUAGAUAUCUGGAGGAACACCGGUGGCGAAGGCGGCAUCCUGGACCAACACUGACGCUGAGGAGCGAAAAGCCAGGGGAGCAAACGGG